rnacentral:rRNA from 1 species
AUUGAACGCUGGCGGCAGGCUUAACACAUGCAAGUCGAGCGGGGGAAGGUAGCUUGCUACCGGACCUAGCGGCGGACGGGUGAGUAAUGCUUAGGAAUCUGCCUAUUAGUGGGGGACAACAUCUCGAAAGGGAUGCUAAUACCGCAUACGUCCUACGGGAGAAAGCAGGGGAUCUUCGGACCUUGCGCUCAUAGAUGAGCCUAAGUCGGAGUAGCUAGUUGGUGGGGUAAAGGGCUACCAAGGCGACGAUCUGUAGAGGGUCUGAGAGGAUGAUCCGCCACACUGGGACUGAGACACGGCCCAGACUCCUACGGGAGGCAGCAGUGGGGAAUAUUGGACAAUGGGGGGAACCCUGACCCAGCCAUGCCGCGUGUGUGAAGAAGGCCUUAUGGUUGUAAAGCACUUUAAGCGAGGAGGAGGCUACUUUAGUUAAUACCUAGAGAUAGUGGACGUUACUCGCAGAAUAAGCACCGGCUAACUCUGUGCCAGCAGCCGCGGUAA